GACUCCAUAUAAUAGCUCAGUUGGUUAGAGCGCCAGUCUAGUAAACUGGAGGUCGAGAGUUCGACUCCCUCUGGAGCCU
rnacentral:tRNA from 1 species